AUGAGUAUGCUUAUGUUUUGAAAUCUAUUAUUAUAAAAAAAUGUUUGUGACUCUCAUGUGAGGCCACGUCAACAAUUCAUGUAUUCUGGGAAUGACACCUGUCCUUUACAAUCAUACGCUGCAUUUUGUUUGAAUCGUUUAUGGGUUUUACGAAGGCAAGCCGGCUUGGACUAACGUUAUUUGGGCUCAUAACAAAACAAAAUCAAAGCCGAAUUCUUACCUUCACCUUCUUCAGACAUUGCGACCAUGGAUUUCUAGGGUUCAUCAUGUUGUGGGAGCUUUGAUUAGGUCAACCGACUAUGGAGUUUCUGGAGUUUUAUGUUACAUGAAUCGUCAUUCGUUUGAGGAUCCUCUCCUCCAGACCGUUACAGAUGCUUUGAUUGAUAGUCUUAACUCAUUCUCCCCACUCUUACCAAGAUUCCUCAUUCAAUGCACUUCUCUUCCAGUCGGUCAAUCUUUUGCUAUAAAAAGAUGGUAGCUGUAGCACCACCGUCCAAGGCCGUCUGGGAGGCCAAGAAAGUUAAAAGAGGUCGCGAGCUUAUGGGCGUCGUAUGCUUCUCCUUGAUGCCAAGGUAGCCCCGGCGAUUUCCAAAACAAACCAUUCCCUUUUCCUUUAAGAUUUACAAGUGAAGCUUUCCUUCUCUGCAGCAAAUAACAAUUUCCAUGUCUGAAGACAGGCACCAACCAAAGUAAAUGCAUGCUAAAGGAGGAACAAAUAAUGGAUCUAUCAAGGCCUCCCAUUGCAUACUUUGAACAUCAUAUUUGUUCUUCUUUGUGGAACAUUCACCGUAAACGGCAAAGUAAAUCCAGCAUCGGAAGCUAAUGGUUGGCGAUCCAAAAGCUGCAGAUAUUGUGUUCACAUGUGGGGUCUAUAUAAUUGACAUUAAGUUCGGCUUUGGUUUGUCUCUCCACAUUAUUUAAAAAGCUACCCUUUUUGCUUAUACUUUGGCCCAGAGAAAAUUGAUGGUUAGUAGUUUCGGUCACUGGUGAGGUAACAUUGGUGUAGAAACUCUCUUCAGAGUUCUUUUUGGGUUCAAAAAGAAAACAUGGCAAUGGUGGUGAAGAAACUCAUCCAGAUGAGCUUGGAAAUGGACACACUGGGAAAAGAGCUAUGGUUUCAAGAGGAGAGAUGACGUUUCAAGAUGUUUACGGUGCAGAGGCAUUGCUGAAUGAAGAAGAUGAGGAGGAUGAUAGUGGUUGGAACCUGAGCAGCAGACGAUGCCCGUUGAGUUUGUGAAAUGGUGUUGCGUCAAUUCCACUAUGGUGAAUCGUGGUGAUAUGGUCCAUUGUUAUGUAUGUUUUGCUUUCACUAUGACCCAUGAAGUUAUUAUGACAGGUUCUUCGGAAAAUCACUGUCUCCUUUGAUGCUAAACAUUGUUAUCAUAAUCACACAUUAUUUUAACACAUGUUAUCUUUGUAGAUUGUAAUUGUCUUUGUAAUGUUCCUUUUUGAAAUUAUUUUCUUAUGUUCAGUACA